UUAAAGCUAAAUACUAGGAGUACAUAAAAUGUUGAUUAGUGAAAAACAAUAUAAUCCAACUCUGAUUUCGUCUAAAG
ensembl:snoRNA Gm23852 predicted gene, 23852